rnacentral:rRNA from 1 species
GACGAACGCUGGCGGCGUGCUUAACACAUGCAAGUCGAACGGAAAGGCCCUGCUUUUGUGGGGUGCUCGAUUGGCGAACGGGUGAGUAACACAUGAGUAACCUGCCCUUAACUUUGGGAUAACUUCAGGGAACUGGGGCUAAUACCGGAUAGGAGCUCCUGCUGCAUAUUGGGGGUUGGAAAGUUUCGGCGUUUGGGGCUGGACUCGCGGCUUAUCAGCUUGUUGGUGGGGUAGUGGCUUACCAAGGCUUUGACGGGUAGCCGGCCUGAGAGGGUGACCGGCCACAUGGGGACUGAGAUACGGCCCAGACUCCUACGGGAGGCAGCAGUGGGGAAUAUUGCACAAUGGGCGGAAGCCUGAUGCAGAAACGCCGCGUGCGGGAUGACGGCUUUCGGGUUGUAAACCGCUUUCGCCUGUGACGAAGCGUGAGUGACGGUAAUGGGUAAAGAAGCACCGGCUAACUACGUG